CCCAUCAAGCCGUGUGCACAGGCCGCCCUGAGACGGUCCCUUCUCUGCCAGGGACCCGCAGGGGUGGCAGGAGCCCGCACCCUGUCCUUGCGCCCUCCAGCCUCCUGAACGGACCCCUCCUGUCCCCGUGCUCUGGCCUGUUGUCCUCUGGACGUGGCGAGCGUGGGGCGACCCACCCGAGCCCUUUGCUGCGCUUUCCUGACAGCGAGACUCGUGAGGUUAGCCACCGCUCCUCCUGGAGGGGCCGAGUGCUCACGGCCACCGAUCGGGCUUCCUUUGUGCUACUGUGGCCGCCCUCCCUCGGUUCCUUCUCUCCCCUUCCAGAGUCAGCAGCAAGACACAGGCCGGGCUGCCGUGCGCUCCCGGGGCUCUGGCACGCACAGCCCGCCAUGCCGCUUCCGUGUCUGCCGCGGCGGCACUGGGUUUCUGCUGCCUCGUGACGAGGCCCCUCCGUCCUCUUUCCAGAACGUUCCCCGUCUGGGCCUCUGCUGGCAGCGUCUCGUGUGUGCCUGUGUCCUCUAGCAGGCUGUGCAGGGCAGUCUGUCCUCCUCCCCAGGAUUCUGGCAGCCUGCACUUAUGUCCCCGGGCCCCUGUGGUUUUGUGUGCUGCACAGGAAGGUGCCACGGACACGGCAUGUCGUCCCCUGCACCGUCCCCAUGGUCGCGAGGCGGCUCGGCCUCGCUGGUUCUCUGUCGGGGCCUCAGGCCUGCGCCCCGGGUGUCGGGUCCACUUCCUGGCAGAACUGGGUCCCGGGUCCCGGGUGUAGACGGGAGCUGGCCGUCAGCCGGGCUGUGAGCAGCUGUCGGGUUAAGCCCCAGGUUGGUGGUGGCCUCGCCCUGGCUGUCCGUGGGCGGGGGCGGGGCGCUUUGCGGUCGGGGCCUCGGGAAGCCCGGCCUGCUCUGCCGCGGCUCCGUGCUGGCGGCCAGCCCCUCCGUGCCGUGCUUGUCUCAUCCGUCAGCCUCUCUGGGAAGAAAGACCCGUUUCUCGUGGCGUUCGUGGCCCAGUCCUGGGAGCUCAGCUGUCUCCUGCCACAGGCAGGUCUCCGAGGUUUCGGUCCUGCGGGGCACGCUCAUUGCCAUCGAGAAAUGCCGCGAACGCUCUCCGGCUCUCCCUCCCCUCCUCCCCGCGCGGCCCCAGCCCCUCGAGCUCCGAAGCCCUUCGUGGCUCCCACCUGAUCCGCACCGCUCGUCCGCGCACGUCCCGCGCCUGGCAUGAGGCCCAGACGGCUCCCGUCCGACGCCUCCGGAACGGCUCAGUCAGGGUGGAUGCUCGCCCUGCGGGCUUCGUGCCCGGCGCAGGCUGCAGAGCGAGUGCCCGUGCGCGUGCUUGCACGUGGACACGCGUGGGCCGGGCUCCGCUCUGAGCUCCCCACCGGUCGUGAGGCUUCCGCACCGCCGCGCGUCACGCGUGGCUCAGGCCCGGGGUGACCCAGACUUGGGUUAAAGGCUGCAACCACACCGUGCCCUUUGACCUCCAGCGAUGCCGGUCUCGUAUCGUGCUGCCCCCCCCCCCCUUAGCGUCUGGGCUGGUCGGGGGCUCUGUGCAGGUGUCACCACGUGUCCCGGUCGUGGUCGUCUUCCGGCUCGUGGGUGUCAACACCGCAGAGACCCACCUGCCCUUCGCUGCCCCUCACGCGCAUGUCCGCGCCCUGCUUCGUUCCUCUUUCUGUUCCCAUCGGUCUCCGCAACAUUCCGGGCAGCGGGAGCGUCUUUCAAUCGAGAGACCGCGGGCCUCCGAGCCGUGUCCCCAGGCCCUGAGUCUUGCCGCCAGUGGAGGGGCCGCUGAGGGCAGAGAGCGGGAGGGAGGGCCGACGGGCAGAGGUGGCGCGGGUCCCAGAGCCGGGGGGACCUGUUUCUAGCAGAGAAUUGUCCCGGUUUAAAGCUGUUGUCUGCGUCCCUUUCACUCGUGUCCCGAAACUCUUCCCCGCGGAUCUUACUGGGCGGAGGAGGAAGGGACCAGGCAAAAGUGGGCUCGUGUGCGGCGUCAGGAAACGGAACCCACGUGGCCCGGUGUCCUCUCCUGCAGCAUCUGGGCAUCGCGUUUGUCGUGAACAACUGUGCCUAAAUUACAUGCACGUGGUGCGGCGUGCGAACUGCCUCUCGAAUUGGUGGAAGUCUGCACUGUGGUAGAACUCCUGUGUGCGUGCACACACACACGCGCACACACACACACACACACACACACACACACACACACACACACACUCACACACAUUGGGACAUCACAAUGGCCUUGUCAGUGAAAGUGCGGAAUUGGAUUGACUCGCAGCUCAUUUGAAAACAUGCAGACUAGGACCUUCUCUGCGUACCUUGUCUCGUGCUUCCCAGGAGCGGUGCCAGACAGCAGCUGUGCUGGAAAACUCAGAAGGAAAGAGACCUCAGUCCCUGUCCGGCCUGCGGAACUCGACGUGCUGGGGCCAUCUCCCUCAGCGCCCUGGCAGGGCCGGCCGUCACCGAGUCCCUCGGGCAGGGAGAAGGGAGAGACAGGGUGUCCCCUCAGCCUGCCCAAGCCCCACUCAUGCUGUUGUCCCACCGGCAGCUUUUGAGGGCCUCCUGUUGUAGGCCAGGUUGUGGUCAUUGAGGACCUGAAGAGGAACGAGGCCUUCAGGGGGACUCCCGUCAGUAGGAGAGGGGGACCAUGCGUGACCCAGUAACCGGCAGAGCAGGAAGGAAGUGACCGCCCAGGGCCCGACGGAGUUUUUUAUAGUGUUCAUUUAUUUUUGAGAGAGAGACAGAGUGCAAGCCAGGGACGGGCAGA